GCCGUGGAGUGCUUCUAGGCCUUCGUUAUGCAGAACCUUUAGUGAGACUUAGACAUGCGGCAAGCGCUCAUAAUGCAGCGUUACCGUUCUCGGAAAUACCGAAGAUUCCAGCAUUGCCUCUGGUCGGAAGUGCUUGGAUUUAUUUUCCUCUUAUCGGUCGGUAUGAUAUCCGGGAUGGCAGUGGAGCUGCGUGGGAUAUAUACCAAAGGUAUGGCCCCAUUGUGGUCCAGCAGCUACCGGGACGGCGGGCUAUUGUGCGCCUGUUCAGCGCAAACGACAUUCGGACACUCUACCAAGAGGAAGGAAGGACACCGCGCCAUGUUGGAUCGCUGGCUCUUAAGCUUUACCACAAAAGCCGAAAGCCGCAGUUCUUUGCAAAUGACGGCCUACUGCACGCCCAAGGUGACGAGUGGCGGCGGAUCCGGUCGCAGACACACACCAGCGUUUCUGCACCACAUGUCUUGCAAAGGUACGCCGAUGGCAUUGCUCGCGUUGUCGACGACACAGUUUCUCUGAUUUCCUCGGUGCGGGAUGAAAAGGGAGAAGUGGAAGACUGCCACGUCCUCAU
rnacentral:lncRNA from 1 species